rnacentral:rRNA from 1 species
CCUGGGGAGUACGGCCGCAAGGUUAAAACUCAAAUGAAUUGACGGGGGCCCGCACAAGCGGUGGAGCAUGUGGUUUAAUUCGAUGCAACGCGAAGAACCUUACCUGGUCUUGACAUCCACGGAAGUUUUCAGAGAUGAGAAUGUGCCUUCGGGAACCGUGAGACAGGUGCUGCAUGGCUGUCGUCAGCUCGUGUUGUGAAAUGUUGGGUUAAGUCCCGCAACGAGCGCAACCCUUAUCCUUUGUUGCCAGCGAUUAGGUCGGGAACUCAAAGGAGACUGCCAGUGAUAAACUGGAGGAAGGUGGGGAUGACGUCAAGUCAUCAUGGCCCUUACGACCAGGGCUACACACGUGCUACAAUGGCGCAUACAAAGAGAAGCGACCUCGCGAGAGCAAGCGGACCUCAUAAAGUGCGUCGUAGUCCGGAUUGGAGUCUGCAACUCGACUCCAUGAAGUCGGAAUCGCUAGUAAUCGUGGAUCAGAAUGCCACGGUGAAUACGUUCCCGGGCCUUGUACACACCGCCCGUCACACCAUGGGAGUGGGUUGCAAAAGAAGUAGGUAGCUUAACCUUCGGGAGGGCGCUUACCACUUUGUGAUUCAUGACUGGGGUGAAGUCGUAACAAGGUAACCGUAGGGGAACCUGCGGUUGGAUCACCUCCUUACCUGAAAGAA